GGGGUGAUGGUUCAAAGGAAGAACGCUGCUCUUGCACAGCAGACAUCGGGGUUCGAGUCCUCGUCACUCCA
rfam:Chondromyces apiculatus DSM 436 contig24, whole genome shotgun sequence.